CUUCUUAUAAGUCUUGUGAAGGACUUGUUGAAUAUGGUGUUGGCAAGAAGUAUAAAAUGCAGGUUUCCUUCAAAAACAUUCCAGGCUUUGUGCAGCAUCAGAAAUCCAAGGCAAGGUAAAAUGUAAUUAAAAUGACAAAUGUGAAUUAGAGAUUUCCCCGAGCCUAGCGAUGGGAAUUUCUUAUGCGGUAAUCCUCUUGGGACCGUCUCUUUUCUCCAGGAGUCUGAUAAUGUGAUUUUGUCCGAGUCAAACUUUUUCUCCUUACUUGGAGUUUCCUCACGCUGAGAUACGCGUUAGGAAAAAUGUAUUUCUCAAGGCCGUAUUGAAGCUCUGAAGGACUCAUCACUGUCGGUCAUUUAAAAACCUUACUGAUGUGUAAAAUAAAGGUGUUUAAAUCGAGCCCUGCAGUGUGCCUUGGGCUGCAUUUUCUAUCUAAUCAAGACUUCCUUUUCCUCACAUGCAGUUUAGCCCUUAAUUAUACAGAGUACAAACACCUGUAUGUGAUCACCAUAAAGACACGGCAGCACCUCCCUUCCACUGUCUUCACAAACUAUUACACCUUUCUCCCUCCCAUUCGUAUAAAAAUUCACUUUUUUCACACUAAAAUGCCUCGCAGGCGAACGCUGAGAAUGAUAAUCUGCACUCCUCGUCGUCCCCCUCUGAGCCGGCUGCAGCCAUCGAGGCGGAAGGAGAUCCUGUCAGGGGCGAUAUAUGCUCUGGCCGCAGGGGAACUGGCCUGCAUGCGGAAGAGUCGCUGCAACCCUGGCAGCAGCUAACGUGGAUCCAACUGAAUAAACAAAGAAGAAAGACACAAAGACUGAAAGCUAGCACGCUUAGUUUCAAUGUGGUCCUCGAUGCAAGGGAAUACGGAGACAGUCACCAACAAAUGACCAUAAAUUGCACAAAAACAGUACUGCAAACGCGGACAGCCAGUGAUGCAUUGCUGCCUGAAGGCCUACAAGCUUCCAGCCUCUGCUUUAUGUGGUCAUUUUUCUCCAACUUGCUUCAUGUCCGUGUACAUGUCACAGUUUGGGCUUUUGGUUUAAUUAUGUCCUGUUUUAUUUUGUAGUUCUUUUCCCAUGUGUUUUGUUCUGCGCUUCACUUCCUCCCAUUUUUCCUUUUCUUCUCUCCUGUCACCUGUAUUCCAUUUGUAAAUUAGUCCCAAAAAGCCUGUGUUUUUCUCUUACUCAUGGUCAGCUUGUUGGUUCUGUUACCAAAUUUCGGUCCUGUGUCUCCUGUGUUCCCGCCUCUGUUCCUAGUGUUCCUGUCUGGGCUCCUUGUUUUCCUCUCAUUGCUCCUUGUGUUCUUAUCUGAGUUCCUAGUGUUCCUGCCUGUGUUCCUAGUGCUUCUGCAGUUUGUACCCUUUUUAGAUUUUGUGCUUUUGCUUUUAUGGAUUUGUUAUAGACCUCAGCUUUGUUAUUAAAGCUCACCUUUUGUUCUUUA